CUCCUGGAAAAGGGUGGUAAUGCCGGAUGCUCCAGUUGAUCGCAUGGUCUUCUGGGAAAGCUUUCGCGGUAUGGGAUGGGGUCGCGUCCUAUCAGCUUGACGGCGGGGUAACGGCCCACCGUGGCUUCGACGGGUAGCCGGCCUGAGAGGGCGACCGGCCACAUUGGGACUGAGAUACGGCCCAGACUCCUACGGGAGGCAGCAGUGGGGAAUAUUGCACAAUGGGCGCAAGCCUGAUGCAGCGACGCCGCGUGAGGGAUGGAGGCCUUCGGGUUGUAAACCUCUUUUAUCGGGGAGCAAGCGAGAGUGAGUUUACCCGUUGAAUAAGCACCGGCUAACUACGUGCCAGCAGCCGCGGUAAUACGUAGGGUGCAAGCGUUAUCCGGAAUUAUUGGGCGUAAAGGGCUCGUAGGCGGUUCGUCGCGUCCGGUGUGAAAGUCCAUCGCUUAACGGUGGAUCCGCGCCGGGUACGGGCGGGCUUGAGUGCGGUAGGGGAGACUGGAAUUCCCGGUGUAACGGUGGAAUGUGUAGAUAUCGGGAAAGAACACC
rnacentral:rRNA from 1 species